rnacentral:rRNA from 1 species
CUCCUUUGACGUUAGCGGCGGACGGGUGAGUAACGCGUGGGUAACCUACCUAUAAGACUGGGAUAACUUCGGGAAACCGGAGCUAAUACCGGAUAAUAUUUCGAACCGCAUGGUUCGAUAGUGAAAGGUGGUUUUGCUAUCACUUAUAGAUGGACCCGCGCCGUAUUAGCUAGUUGGUAAGGUAACGGCUUACCAAGGCGACGAUACGUAGCCGACCUGAGAGGGUGAUCGGCCACACUGGAACUGAGACACGGUCCAGACUCCUACGGGAGGCAGCAGGC